rnacentral:rRNA from 1 species
UACGAAGGGGGCAAGCGUUGUUCGGAAUCACUGGGCGUAAAGCGCACGUAGGCGGAUCUUUAAGUCAGGGGUGAAAUCCCAGAGCUCAACUCUGGAACUGCCUUUGAUACUGGGGAUCUCGAGUUCGGGAGAGGUGAGUGGAACUGCGAGUGUAGAGGUGAAAUUCGUAGAUAUUCGCAAGAACACCAGUGGCGAAGGCGGCUCACUGGCCCGGUACUGACGCUGAGGUGCGAAAGCGUGGGGAGCAAACAGG